rnacentral:rRNA from 1 species
GAUGAACGCUGGCGGCGUGCCUAAUACAUGCAAGUCGAGCGAACAGAUGAGGAGCUUGCUCCUCUGACGUUAGCGGCGGACGGGUGAGUAACACGUGGAUAACCUACCUAUAAGACUGGGAUAACUUCGGGAAACCGGAGCUAAUACCGGAUAAUAUAUUGAACCGCAUGGUUCAAUAGUGAAAGACGGUUUUGCUGUCACUUAUAGAUGGAUCCGCGCCGCAUUAGCUAGUUGGUAAGGUAAAGGCUUACCAAGGCAACGAUGCGUAGCCGACCGGAGAGGGGGAUCGGCCACACUGGAACUGAGACACGGUCCAGACUCCUACGGGAGGCCGCAGUAGGGAAUCUUACGCAAUGGGCGAAAGCCUGACGGAGCAACGCCGCGUGAGUGAUGAAGGUCUUCGGAGCGUAAAACUCUGUUAUUAGGGAAGAACAAAUGUGUAAGUAACUAUGCACGUCUUGACGGUACCUAAUCAGAAAGCCACGGCUAACUACGUG